GUCUUUUCAUGCCACUGUUGAAGCUGGUUCUAAAUCCAUGUGUGAAUCUCUCUGCCUUUCUGAUGAACUAGUAGAGGCAAUACAAAAAAAAAUUCUGUGAGAACUGUCAAAAGAAGCAACACCAGUGUUUCUCUUGUGGGGAAUUAGGUUCUUCUGAUAAAUUGUCUGGUGCAGAGUUUUCAGAAAGGGGUGGAUUUGUCUUCAAUUACCAUAGUGGAUGAUUCUUCAAAGAACAGUGUGUGAAAAUGGACUGGAUCCAAUUAUUCAAAGAAAUAGAAAGUGGGGGAUACAACCAGAAAGCCUCUAAACAACACUGGCUCUACAAAAGUCAGUAAGUCCUUCACCGAUGGAAACAAGUUUUCCUUGGGGAAUAGUGUGUACAACUUGAUCAGCAAAGGUUCCAAAACGAAGUCUAGGAAAGACACACCUGAUAGUGAAUAUAAGCAAACCUUGACCAAUAAGCCUGUUGCAAAGGAAAUGAGGGAUUCACUGUCUCUGGAUGCUGAUGCAAAAUAGAGGUUUUUUGGUCUUGACUAUGACUUGGAUCUCUUCAAUAUUGUUGCUGUUUCAGAUUUUAACAUACCGGCGUUUGCAGAUCUCCCAACCCUCUCACUCUCUCGUAGACGUAUAUUAAGGUCGGAGAUA